GCAGUCGAGCGAAUCGAUGGGAGCUUGCUCCUUGAGAUUAGCGGCGGACGGGUGAGUAACACGUGGGCAACCUGCCCUGCAGAUGGGGAUAACUCCGGGAAACCGGGGCUAAUACCGAAUAAUCAGUUCCUCCGCAUGGAGGAACUCUGAAAGACGGUUUCGGCUGUCACUGCAGGAUGGGCCCGCGGCGCAUUAGCUUGUUGGUGGGGUAACGGCCUACCAAGGCGACGAUGCGUAGCCGACCUGAGAGGGUGAUCGGCCACACUGGGACUGAGACACGGCCCAGACUCCUACGGGAGGCAGCAGUAGGGAAUCUUCCACAAUGGACGAAAGUCUGAUGGAGCAACGCCGCGUGAGCGAAGAAGGUUUUCGGAUCGUAAAGCUCUGUUGUGAGGGAAGAACAAGUACGGGAGUAACUGCCCGUACCUUGACGGUACCUCAUCAGAAAGCCACGGCUAACUACGUGCCAGCAGCCGCGGUAAUACGUAGGUGGCAAGCGUUGUCCGGAAUUAUUGGGCGUAAAGCGCGCGCAGGCGGUCCCUUAAGUCUGAUGUGAAAGCCCACGGCUCAACCGUGGAGGGUCAUUGGAAACUGGGGGACUUGAGUACAGAAGAGGAAAGCGGAAUUCCACGUGUAGCGGUGAAAUGCGUAGAGAUGUGGAGGAACACCAGUGGCGAAGGCGGCUUUCUGGUCUGUAACUGACGCUGARGCGCG
rnacentral:rRNA from 1 species